rnacentral:lncRNA from 1 species
UAUGGGAUAAGGCAAUUGCCAACAAAGCUUAAUUUAUUUGUUCAUUCUUUAUUUCAUGCAUUUAUUUUCUCAAGAAGCAUUUGUCAAGUGUCUCCUACAUGCCAGAUACUUUGUCAGUUGCUGGAGAUAUAAAGCCAAAAGACACAAGGUCGCAGGGUCCAUGAUAGGCAGAUGGGGAGCACCAGAACAGACUCGGUGUCAAUCAGGGAAAGCUGUCACCAGCAGGUGACAUGAGAUAAGUUUUCAAGAAAGAUAAGCAUUGCAGAGAGGAGUUGGGUAGGAGGAAGUUGCUGCCAAGACCUGCAUCGUUUGCCCCUGAGUCACCAAGGAUCACAAUGCUCAUGGCUGAUAAUUAUGAAAUUAAAAGCAGCAGGGGAUUGGGGAUUUUAGGAAAAGGAGGUAUCCUCAGUGGUGGUACAGGAGCAGAUGCUGCUUAGAGAAGAGAAAGCAAACAGAGGCAAAGCCCUCCUGGGCCCAGUGCCUGCAGUGUGGUGGAAGACUGAGAUCUGUUAAAGAGGGGGAAAAGAAAACUUUAAAAGCUGGAGGCAAGACUCAGAGUGAAGGCUUAAUUGAGGAAGCAGGCAUUUUGGGUUCACACAAAUAAGCAAAUAGAAUCCCCUUGGCCCCUCCUGGUCAUCUGUGAGUUUUGACAGGGUUCAUGCAAAGACAAUGAUGAGUACAUCAUAACACCGCAUGGCCAACAGUAAUUAUAAGACAACAUCAAUUAUACAGCUCAGCCUAAUUUUGAGAUAUUAAUGAAUGAAAAACUGUGCAUCUUGAAAUUGAUGAAUGGUAGUACUUUAUGGAAUUGUUCUUAGAAUGAAAGCAUGACUUUCUUGAAAAGCCUCUAGGGUAGUACCUUGCAUAUGGUGGAAACUAGAAUUACGGUUUUUCUUUUCUUUUUCUUUUCUCCCAGCCUGUAAAUGUUAUCUCUGAUAGUAAGUCUCCUGACUACAAUGAGUAGCUGAUGGAUGGGAAGGGGGGUUCCAAUACACAGAAUGAGCAUCUAAUGGGGAAUGGGAAAAAACUAGAGGUCAUAUGAAGCCCUGUGUUUCUCAGUAUACAUCUACAGUGACCACAUAACUUAUUAUCCAAACCAGGACAAUUUUGAAAGUAAAAGAAGUUGCUUUUAAUAAUUUAACUGGAACCAGGGACAUAAACUGGGGCCAACCCAGAUGAGCCAUAUAUAAAAACCUACAAAAGUCCAUCUUCCAUCUGGCAAGUACAACUGAAAUCAGAUGCAAAUUUCUCUAUGCUUAGACUUGGAGUGUCUUCGUCCAAAACCUGGAAGGCCAUGAGACAAAUGAUGGGCACGCAGGUACUCUUGGCUCCCAUCCCAAGAAGGCUUAACAAACACUAUAUUCCAAAAUUGGUUAAAGUUCGAUGCCACCGUGUUGUGGGAGAUGUUCCCCUUCCUCAGCUGUUAUUUAUGGUGCAGAGAAAAGGAACCACAUUGAUGAUGGACCUUGUUUGAUGCAUUCUAUCCCCAAGCUGAUGUUGUCUGGAGAAAUACCCAUUCCCACUCAUUGAGUCACCAUGAAUGGGGGGCUCACCAUGGCCAAGGGUGCUUUCUGG